rnacentral:rRNA from 1 species
AUUGAACGCUGGCGGCAGGCCUAACACAUGAAAGUCGAACGCGUGGCGGACGGGUGAGUAAUGUCUGGGAAACUGCCUGAUUGAGGGGGAUAACUACUGGAAACGGUAGCUAAUACCGCAUACCAUCAGAUGUGCCCAGCUGGGAUUAGCGUGUUGGUGGGGUAACGGCUCACCAAGGCGAAGAUCCAUAGCUGGUCGGAGAGGAUGACCAGCAAACCUGGAACUGAGACACGGUCCAGACUCCUACGUGAGGAAGCAGUGGGGAAUAUGGCACAAUGGGAGCAAGCCUGAUGCAGCCAUGCCGCGUGUAUGAAGAAGGCCGUCGGGUUGUAAAGUACUUUCAGCGGGGAGGCGUUACCCGCAGAAGAAGCACCGGCGAACUCCGUGCCAGCAGCCGCGGUAAUAC